rnacentral:rRNA from 1 species
AGCGAACGCUGGCGGCGUGCCUAAUACAUGCAAGUAGAACGCUGAAGAGAGGAGCUUGCUCUUCUUGGAUGAGUUGCGAACGGGUGAGUAACGCGUAGGUAACCUGCCUUGUAGCGGGGGAUAACUAUUGGAAACGAUAGCUAAUACCGCAUAACAAUGGAUGACUCAUGUCAUUUAUUUGGAAGGGGCAAAUGCUCCACUACAAGAUGGACCUGCGUUGUAUUAGCUAGUAGGUGAGGUAACGGCUCACCUAGGCGACGAUACAUAGCCGACCUGAGAGGGUGAUCGGCCACACUGGGACUGAGACACGGCCCAGACUCCUACGGGAGGCAGCAGUAGGGAAUCUUCGGCAAUGGGGGCAACCCUGACCGAGCAACGCCGCGUGAGUGAAGAAGGUUUUCGGAUCGUAAAGCUCUGUUGUAAGUCAAGAACGAGUGUGAGAGUGGAAAGUUCACACUGUGACGGUAGCUUACCAGAAAGGGACGGCUAACUACGUGCCAGCAGCCGCAGUAA